GACGAACGCUGGCAGCGUGCCUAAUACAUGCAAGUCGAGCGGACCACUUCGGUGGUCAGCGGCGGACGGGUGAGUAACACGUGGGCAACCUGCCUGUAAGACUGGGAUAACACCGGGAAACCGGUGCUAAUACCGGAUAAUCCUUUCCUUCACAUGAGGGAAAGCUGAAAGACGGUUUCGGCUGUCACUUACAGUAGGGCCCGCGGGGCAUUAGCUAGUUGGUGAGGUAACGGCUCACCAAGGCAACGCUGCGUAGCCGACCUGAGAGGGUGGUCGGCCACACUGGGGCUGAGACACGGCCCAGACUCCUACGGGAGGCAGCAGUAGGGAAUCUUCCGCAAUGGACGAAAGUCUGACGGAGCAACGCCGCGUGAGCGAUGAAGGCCUUCGGGUCGUAAAGCUCUGUUGUCAGGGAAGAACAAGUACCGGAGUAACUGCCGGUACCUUGACGGUACCUGACCAGAAAGCCACGGCUAACUACGUGCCAGCCGCCGCCGUAAAAC
rnacentral:rRNA from 1 species